GCUUCUUCAAACAACAGUUAGACACCUCUGUCCGAUAUAGCCGACAUAAUAAAGCUCUUUACAGAGAUUUAAUAGCCACUGUGUUUUAAACACCAUUCUGUCGUGUUUACUUGUUACCCCUAUUUUAAUUUCAUAUUUACGUUUUGUUGUUUUGCCGACUGGCUCGUUAAGUUAGCAAUAGCCUAGCUAAUCCCCGAUAUGAGCUCACUUAGUUUCGCUCUAGUUAAAGAAGAGGAAGAGGAGGAGGAGGUCUGCUGGACGGAGAAAGAAGUUGUUGUGAAAGAGGAGGAGGAAGAGGAGGAUGUUACCAUAAAACAAGAAGUAGAGGCUGAGGCUGUUACAGUGAAAGAAGAAGAGAAAGACGUUUCAGUGAAAGAAGAGGAAGACCCGAUCAGAGUGAAAGAGGGGGAUGAGGAAGAGGAGGAGGCAGAGACAGGAGAUCUGAUUAACACUGGCACACAGCUCAGAGACACCCAUGCAUACCCUACAAGACAUGCCACCAGAGGUCUCCUCACAGUCCCCAAGUCUAGGACAGACUACGGGAGGUACACAGUACUACAUAGAGCCAUGACUACAUGGAACUCUAUUCCACAUCAGCUGGACCCCAGGAAGAGGAGCUGCUGCCUUGACAGGAACUAAUGGGAUCCAUAGUAAACCCCAGGAAGAGUAGCUGCUGCCUUGGCAGGAACGAAUUG